GAUGAACGCUAGCGGCAGGCCUAACACAUGCAAGUCGAGGGGUAGCAGGAUUAAGCUUGCUUAAUUGCUGACGACCGGCGCACGGGUGCGUAACGCGUAUGCAACCUACCUUAUACUGGGGUAUAGCCCGGAGAAAUUCGGAUUAAUCCCCCAUAGUACUGAUGAAUCGCAUGGUUUAUUAGUUAAAGCAUUGCGGUAUAAGAUGGGCAUGCGUCCUAUUAGCUAGAUGGUGAGGUAACGGCUCACCAUGGCUACGAUAGGUAGGGGGCCUGAGAGGGUGGUCCCCCACACUGGUACUGAGACACGGACCAGACUACUACGGGAGGCAGCAGUGAGGAAUAUUGGUCAAUGGGCGCAAGCCUGAACCAGCCAUGCCGCGUGCAGGAAGAAUGCCCUAUGGGUUGUAAACUGCUUUUAUUUGGGAAUAAACCUCUUUACGUGUAGAGAGCUGAAGGUACCAAAUGAAUGAGCACCGGCUAACUCCGUGCCAGCAGCCGCAGUAA
rnacentral:rRNA from 1 species